rnacentral:sRNA from 1 species
CUUAGUGCUGGAAAAGUGCUGGGUUAGCAACUGCAGAACAUGGACAGCAGCAGUGCAAACUUUCCCCACAUUGUCAUGCCAACCUGCUUCAAUUCUGACCUGGAAGGAUCCCUUCUAGAGAUGAGAAGAGUGUUUAGUGUCCAUAUCAAAUGAAUCAGUCUCUCUG